UAGGGAAUCUUCCACAAUGGACGAAAGUCUGAUGGAGCAACGCCGCGUGAGUGAAGAAGAUUUCGGAUACGUAAAGCUCUGUUGUUGGUGAAGAAGGAUAGAGGCAGUAACUGGUCUUUAUUUGACGGUAAUCAACCAGAAAGUCACGGCUAACUACGUGCCAG
rnacentral:rRNA from 1 species